GACGGAGGAUGCAAGCGUUAUCCGGAAUGAUUGGGCGUAAAGCGUCCGCAGGUGGCAGUUCAAGUCUGCUGUCAAAGACCGGGGCUUAACUUCGGAAAGGCAGUGGAAACUGAACAGCUAGAGUAUGGUAGGGGCAGAGGGAAUUCCUGGUGUAGCGGUGAAAUGCGCAGAUAUCAGGAGGAACACCAGCGGCGAAGGCGGCGCUCUGGGCCGGUACUGACACUGAGGAGCGAAAGCGUGGGUAGCAAACAGG
rnacentral:rRNA from 1 species